AUACUGUGCGUGCACGCUCCCUAAAAUGGCUACCCUCUGCUGCUCCAUACAGCACAGGUACACUCCACUGAAAAUGGCUUGGUUAACAACACAACAGCACCCCGGUACACAGGAUAGCCAGGUGAAUGGAAAUCUUGCUCUAUUGGGACCAAUGAAGCUGGGCUGGAGUAAAAUAUUCCCAAUUCUAUUACAGCUGGAAAUAUCUAUUUAAAACAAAGCUUGGUAAAACCAGGAGAAAAAACACAAAAUAAUUGGUUUAAGUUAUUAACACUGGAGAGUCUAAAAUAAGUUGAUUCACACCUACCACCGUUGACCUGCUUGGACCUUGCCAACAAAGGAUCACACUUGUCAAACUUAAUUUUCCUUUUCUCGUUUCCAUUACCCAUGAACUCAACUUUCAGGAUUUAAGAGAAAAGAGAAGGGAACUUAAGCAGAUACCAGUAUAUAUUUAGUUUUUAAGAACAUGUGUUUGUAGGAAAAUUAAAGGUAUAUUUGAGUCUCUAUUAGAUUAAACAAAAUGACAGUGGCUUUGAGGGGUAAACAAUUUAGCAGCCCAUUGUCUGGCGUUUUAUUGCAUUAACCCUUUGUCAGUGACAAAACACACAUGCUACACGUGUGACACCUGUUCACCAUCUUUCAGCACUACUCCGCCAGUCAAAAGAAGCAGUGUGUGGUAGCCUACAGUAUAUGAAAGGCAAGUCUUUUUUGUAACACCCUGGAGACCAGAAAAAAUAAUAAAAUUAUUAUUUUUGUAAUAAUGUCCGUAGUAGGUAAUAAGCAGGAUACUGUAAAUAAUGCAGUUAUCAAAUACAGUGCUGGAAGCGAAUAUAUUGUACACACACUCACAGCUUUUUGAAAAUUACUAAUGGCUAAAAAAUAAAUAUGUAGGGCUACAUCAAUAAUGCAUUUCUCAACAAUCUAUUCUGAUAGUAAGCAGGAACUGAAUGAGGUGCAAAGCUACUCCAUAAAAUGACCAUGUGCACUUUGAAGACUGGUAUUUUCUUUAACAUUUUCUUUUAUUUUAUAAUUCCAGUAAAUCAGAGGUGACUGCUUCUACAAAUCCAAUAGCCCAAAGAAUUAAACGACUUUAUAAUACACUCCGAAAGGUGCCUUAAACAAACUGAGUAGAGUGAUAACCUUUUAUCAUUUUGUAUAAUUUAUGAAUGGUAAAUAGUAUUUUACAGUAGAAUCAUUUCUCUUUCUGUUAACUUGGCAACUGAAUCAAGCCAUGACACAGCUGACCAUAAAUUUAAAAAAAAAAAUUAAAAAUCAGAAUGAAAAUUCAGGGAGGAAUUGAAACAUUUGUUACCAGCUAUUUUAGUUUUUAGAGGGAUUUGAUGAUUGAGUGAAAUAUCUGAGAGCAAAGUUAAAAUUGUAGGAAGCAGUAAGAUCCAAGAAAGCAAAUAAAAAUGACAGAGCUUUAUAUUUGCAUUUCCACCCACUGAUUACUCUGUUUUAUGUAAGUCUAAACUCAGAAAAGUAAUCUAUCUUAACUGAAUUUUAGUCACAGAAUGCAUGACGACGUGGAAAAGUCUGAGGGACAAGUAUAUCAGGGAGGAAAAAAUCAAUUAAUAAAAAGAAGAGUGGGCUUGAAGCGAGCAGCAGAUAUAAAUUGGCUUUUUUGACAUCCUUGGUUUCCUAUCACCAUACAUUACACACAAAAGAAGGUAGGAAUCUUAAAAAGGUUUUUUGUAUUUCUCCAUUAGUGAAUGAUAGUCUACUUCAGAAAUCUCAAUAAAACAUAAACCAUUAGAAAUGCAAACUGGUAUGGAUAGUUUUAUUUUUUAAUUUUUUAAUUUGAUCUGUUAAGGCAUUUGCAAAUACAAGAUAGUGGUCUAUAAGCUUCUGAAUGAAUUGGUCACUUACCCCCGAACGCGCAGAAGUAAACAACAUCACCUAACUAAAUAAAAUCCAAAGACGAGGCCCCUAAUGACAACACUCCCCUCCCAAAACAUCUGUCCACUCUUGCAAGUUUACCCUUCACUUCAGCUUUGCCUGUUCCAUCCCCAUCCCCUUCACAAGUCCCACAAACACCACCUGAAAGGGAGGUCUGAAAUGCCUUGUCAACUGUAGCCAAAGCAGUUUCAGCUGAAAGUGAUGAAGAUGAGCUUUACGGCAGAAGUCCGAACCGUGAAAGAAAGCCCUUUUAAAAAUUCAAAUCAAUUAAUGUUUGAAGCUGAAUUUGGACAGUAAUUGCAUUCCAAAUUAUUUUAUGUUUCUGGAAUAAACAUUUUGUUUGUUAUGACUUUUUGAAAAUAAACCUU